rnacentral:rRNA from 1 species
GAUGAACGCUGACAGAAUGCUUAACACAUGCAAGUCAACUUGAAUUUGGGUUUUUUAACUUAGAUUUGGGUGGCGGACGGGUGAGUAACGCGUAAAGAACUUGCCUCACAGCUAGGGACAACAUUUGGAAACGAAUGCUAAUACCUGAUAUUAUGAUUAUAAGGCAUCUUAGAAUUAUGAAAGCUAUAUGUGCUGUGAGAGAGCUUUGCGUCCCAUUAGCUAGUUGGAGAGGUAACGGCUCACCAAGGCGAUGAUGGGUAGCCGGCCUGAGAGGGUGAACGGCCACAAGGGGACUGAGACACGGCCCUUACUCCUACGGGAGGCAGCAGUGGGGAAUAUUGGACAAUGGACCAAGAGUCUGAUCCAGCAAUUCUGUGUGCACGAUGACGUUUUUCGGAAUGUAAAGUGCUUUCAGUUGGGAAGAAAAAAAUGACGGUACCAACAGAAGAAGUGACGGCU